AAUGUUGUAUUAUCUAGUUGAGUCUUGUUUUAGACAUUGAGUUUUGUUAUUGUAUUUAGUUUGGGACCAUUAUGAAACUUGGGAAACAUUUUACUUGGUUGAAUCGGUAGUUUUAGACUCUACAUUCCAUCGCUUAAAUCUUGUAAUGUGGACUGAAUUGGACAUUCUCUGUUAUGUAGUUCAUUUAAAUUGUUGGCACAUGUUUGUGGUGUUUGGAUGUUGCAAUGUUCAUGUAAUUGGGUAGAUAA
rnacentral:lncRNA from 1 species